rnacentral:lncRNA from 10 species
GGGCUGUCCAUCACCACCCCUCCGGCCCCCGCCGGAAAGAGGACCUGGAGGAAAAGACCCCUCAGGCUCCGGCCGCAGCUCCACCCGCAGGGGCCGUGGGAAGCGGGCGCUCCGGGGAGGAUGCCGCGCCCAGUAGGGGUCGACCCGAAGAGGGGGUCCCCUCCGGGGGGGGACCUGCCCGGGGCUGGGCGAGGGUAUGAGUUCCCGGCUCCCCCACAUCCAUCACCCUCAGGCCACGCUGAGCUUCCUGGACGCGGAAGCCUAGGCCCCAGCACCGCUGCACCUGCCGGCCGGGCACCCCACUAACGCGGCAUCCCGAGAAGGGCCGACUUCCAGGACGACGCAGCUGCGUGCACACAGCCCCCCUUGGCCCGGUGCGGCGGCCCGCAGGGGAGAACGAGCUUGCAGGGUGCGGGUGCGGGCCGCUGGGGCCGAUCUGGCGUCGCAGAACCCGGGGUCCACACCGUCCAGGCUGCGGCCGCGACGACCCCCUGCCAGGCGCCGGUCUCCUCCGGGAGGGCUCCAGCCCGCGCCACCUCCAGGCACAGGGCGCCCUCGUAACUCCCAAUGAAAGUCCUGCGGGAAACGGUUCCCGACCUCGCCAGGCUGGGGGCAGAAGCGACGGGAUGACGCGGAUUGUAAUCGGAAGGUCAGCCUGUCCUGGCCACGCCAGGAAAUGUAAAAUUUAAAGCACAUUUACAUUUUACAGCCCUCCAAUUCCCAAUUCCCUUUUCUCUGCACGCUGACCCAACUUGGUAACGUGAGCUCGCGCCUGUGAGCACUCACCUUCCCGCCGUGACCCGGGCCCAGGGCUUCAGGGCAGGAGUUGUCAGGAGGGUGUGCAGCAGGGAAAAUGGGUGCUGAGGAGCCGAAGGACGACUUGGGAGGGAUAGGGGAGAAGGAAAAGAGGGGCCGAGCAAAGGCCUAGAGAACCGCUGGGGAAGAAACGUUGAACUUAAGAUGAACAGAGGCCAAGCUGUCUUUGAUUGACAGCAUCUCAGGCUCACAAAAGCAACUUUCAAAGAUAAUGAAAUGCCUACCUUUCAAUAGCUUGUUUUCUCCCUGUAACGCUUAUUUAAAUGUUGUUAUAACAAUUCUUUCUUUCUUUCUUUUUUUUUUUUUUGAGAUGGAGUCUCGCUCUGUCGCCCAGGCUGGAGUGCAAUGGCGCGAUCUCGGCUCACCGCGACCUCUGCCUCCCGGGUUCCAGCGAUUCUCCUGCCUCAGCCUCCCGAGUAGGUGGGAUUACAGGCACCUGCCACCAUGCCCGGCUCAUUUUUGUAUUUUUAGUAGAGUCGGGGUUUCACCAUGUUAGCCAGCCUGGUUUCGAACUCCUGACCUCAAAUGAUCUGCCUGCCUUGGCCUCCGAAAGUGCUGGGAUUACAGAUCCCAGAGCCCCAGGAAUAAAAUGCAGAGGAUCCACAGUUGCCUCCCAGUUUUAUUAGGAUGGUGCAAAAGUAAUUGCAGUUUUUCCAUUAAAAUUAACAGCGAAAAAUGCAAUACUUUUACGCCAACCUAAAUAAUACAGGUAACUUUAAAGUCCCCUUCUUGAAGCCCCCUUCUGAGGUAGUCCCCUCUCCCACCCCCAGUCUUUUUUUUUUUUUUCAACGUAGAGCAAGGUCAAUUGUGAGGGUGGUGAAUGGGUGACUGGAACCCACAAACUUGACGCAUGGGAAGGCCGGGUCAGAAGUCAGGGUGUGGGUGUGGCUCUGAAAGGUGGCAUUUUAUAGAAACAUGGAGAUACACAAAAUGUUCAUCCCAGUACUCACAGCUCUAAAGAUGGCUUGGCAGAGUAACGUUAAAUCAUACACCUCGAAGACAAAACUAAAACCCCGAGGGCACCUUGGAAAGGUCUGAGCAGGGGGGUGGGGGGUUUCCUCGGAAGAGGGUGCAUCUGGGGCCAGGCACAGUGACCCACACCUGUAAUCCCAGCACUUGGGGAGGCCGAGGAGGGUGGAUCACCUGAGCCCAGGAGUUCGAGACCAGCCUGGCCAACAUGACAAAACCCCAUCUCUACUAAAAAUACAAAAGUUAGCUGGGUGUGGUGGUGCACAUCUGUAAUCUCAGCUAUUUGGGAGGCAGAGGCAUGAGAAUCACUUGAACACAGGAGGUGGAGGUUGCAGUAAGCUGAGAUCAUGCCACUGCAUUCUACUAGCCUGG